rnacentral:misc_RNA from 1 species
GCAAACUUGGUCAUUUAGAGGAAGUAAAAGUCGUAACAAGGUUUCCGUAGGUGAACCUGCGGAAGGAUCAUUACCGAGUUAGGGUGUGCCCUCUGGGUGCCCCGACCUCCCAACCCUUUGUCUAUGUUACCUCAGUUGCUUCGGUGGGCCGGAAGCUGACCAACUGGUCGCGACCGCCGGUCUUUCAGGCUGGAGAGCUGCCCACCGAUGGCCCUCCAAACUUCUUUAUACCAAAACCUGUCGUCUGAAUAUUGUGAUUGUAUAAUCGAAAAAACAAAACUUUCAACAACGGAUCUCUUGGUUCUGGCAUCGAUGAAGAACGCAGC